AGCUCUGCCUUAGUAAAGAGUAUCUUGACAGCAAGAUCAUGUUUUGCACCCAUGUCCGAAAAUAUUGUUGCUCUUUUGACGUUGUUGCUAAUGUCAAAUGGGAUCCACUUCAGUUCUGUUAUGGAGAUGUUCAAAAGAAGGAAAGGAAAUGGAACACAUUAACAUUUGUUUUCAGUUUCCUGAUAAGAGCUUUUCUUUUAAGCAGGACCAGUCAAGUUCUCAUCAGAAUGUAGAACACAUUUUCAUAGACUCUAUCACAACACAAGGGAUUGUUCAAGACCAGCAUACUACAAAAGAUGUGCAAGAUUGCUAACACGGCUAGCGAUGAGUCCACUUUGCUCACAAUCGUAGACAUUGCAUGCUCAAAAUUUUGAAAGAGGGAUAUAUGUUUUGCCCAGGAAGUGCCUUCAAUUCACAGCAGUCACAUUAAGAACAUAUUAUUGUAAUUGUUUAUAGUAUUUUUAUUUGUGUUGUUGAUACUGUAUGUAUAUGAAAAUGCUGUCAGCCUUUAUUGGUUUUAUGAAAUAGAUUUUCUGUUUAUCUUCAUGUAACAUGUAUUUUUAAGAAAACCAUAAUUUAAUAUUGAAUACACCAAUUUAUUGAAAUGAUAUGUAUAUAAUUCAUCACAAUAAUUCAGAAAUAUACAAUUAUUUUCUUAAAGUUCUCACCUAAUGAAGAUAUUUUUUUCUCAUCGUGUCUGAAUUAAUCUCACUUAAUAUUAUUUGCUUUGUCAAUAUUACAUUCUGAGACGGUCCUACCAUGGUCGUUGAGAUAUUUAUUUCACUGUCCUUGUCUCCAUUGUAUUUAAUUUGGCACUUGAAUGAUUCCAGUCAAUGAAAACAUGUUGAAUGACGACGAAUGUAAUAAUGCACUGCAGUACUUAACAAUAAAAAAUAUUGAAGCACA